ACGCUCGACACCUACGGGAGCAGCAGUCGGGAAUAUUGCGCAAUGGAGGAAACUCUGACGCAGUGACGCCGCGUAUAGGAAGAAGGUUUUCGGAUUGUAAACUAUUGUCGUUAGGGAAGAAAAAAGACAGUACCUAAGGAGGAAGCUCCGGCUAACUACGUCCCAGCAGCCGCGGUAAUCUGAGCGGGCUGGCAAGGC
rnacentral:rRNA from 1 species